GAUGAAGAACGUAGCGAAAUGCGAUACUUGGUGUGAAUUGCAGAAUCCCGUGAACCAUCGAGUCUUUGAACGCAAGUUGCGCCCGAAGCCACUAGGCCGAGGGCACGCCUGCCUGGGCGUCACACGCCGUUGCCCCCCCAUCUACUCCUUCGGGAUUGCGGGGGGGCGGAUGAUGGCCUCCUGUGCGCCUAGCCGCGCGGUUGGUAUAAAUACCAAGUCCUCGGCGACGCACGCCACGACAAUCGGUGGUUGCGAAACCUCGGUUGCCCGUCGUGUGCGUUCGUCGCGCAUCGAGGGCUCGAAAAAAUGCUCGGCUCCGGCUGGGCUUUCAACGCGACCCCAGGUCAGGCGGGGUUACCCGCUGAAUUUAAGCAUAUCAUAAGCGGAGGA
rnacentral:misc_RNA from 1 species